CAGAGGUCUCAACCGUUGUUCGGAUUCAUUGGGCGUAAAGGGUGCGUAGGCGGCGGAGUAAGUCAGGUGUGAAAUCUCGGGGCUCAACCCCGAAACUGCACUUGAUACUGCUUCGCUCGAGUACUGGAGGGAGACUGGAAUUUACGGUGUAGCAGUGAAAUGCGUAGAUAUCGUAAGGAAGACCAGUGGCGAAGGCGAGUCUCUGGACAGUUACCGACGCUGAGGCACGAAGGCCAGGGGAGCAAACGGGAUUAGAUACCCCGGUAGUCCUGGCAGUAAACGGUGCACGUUUGGUGUGGGAGGAUUCGACCCCUUCCGUGCCGGAGCUAACGCGUUAAACGUGCCGCCUGGGAAGUACGGUCGCAAGAUUA
rnacentral:rRNA from 1 species